rnacentral:rRNA from 1 species
UAGGGAAUAUUGCAAAAUGGGCGAAAGCCCGAUGCAGCAACGCCGCGUGGGCGAUGAAGGCCUUCGGGUCGUAAAGCCCUUUUUGAGGGGAUGAGGAAGGACAGUACCCUCAGAAUAAGCCUCGGCUAACUACGUGCCAGCAGCCGCGGUAAAACGUAGGAGGCGAGCGUUAUCCGGAUUUACUGGGCGUAAAGCGCGUGCAGGCGGAUUGGAGAGUUGGAUGUGAAAGUUCCCGGCUUAACUGGGAGAGGUCGUUCAAUACUUCCAGUCUUGAGUGCAGUAGAGGGAAGUGGAAUUCCGGGUGUAGUGGUGAAAUGCGUAGAUAUCCGGAGGAACACCAGUGGCGAAAGCGGCUUCCUGGACUGUAACUGACGCUCAGACGCGAAAGCUAGGGUAGCAAACG